UGUGUCCUAGGGGCGCAGCAGUGGGGAAUAUUGCACAAUGGGGGAAACCCUGAUGCAGCAACGCCGCGUGAGUGAAGAAGGUUUUCGGAUUGUAAAGCUCUGUUAGCAGGGAAGAGGAAGGACGGUACCUGCAGAAGAAGCCCCGGCUAACUACGUGCCAGCAGCCGCGGUAAUACGUAGGGGGCAAGCGUUAUCCGGAUUUACUGGGUGUAAAGGGAGCGUAGACGGCUGUGCAAGUCUGAAGUGAAAGCCCAGGGCUCAACCCUGGGACUGCUUUGGAAACUGUGGAGCUAGAGUGCUGGAGG
rnacentral:rRNA from 1 species